GAUGAACGCUAGCUACAGGCUUAACACAUGCAAGUCGAGGGACAGGCGCACGGGUGAGUAAAACGUAUCCAACCUGCCCUUUACUCGGGGAUAGCCUUUCGAAAGAAAGAUUAAUACCCGAUAUAAAGGAUGGGGAUGCGUUCCAUUAGGUUGUUGGUGAGGUAACGGCUCACCAAGCCUUCGAUGGAGAGGGGUUCUGAGAGGAAGGCCCCCCACAUUGGAGCUUGUACACGGUCCCAACUCCUACGCGAGUCAGCAGUGAGGAAUAUUGGUCAAUGUGCGCUAGCCUGACCCAGCCAAUUAGCGUGAAGGAUGAAGGCUUAUUGGUCGUAAACUUCUGUUAUAUAAGAAUAUGUAUUAUAUGAAUAAGGAUCGGCUAACUCCGUGCCAGCAGCCGCGGUAAUAC
rnacentral:rRNA from 1 species